GACGAACGCUGGCGGCGUGCCUAAUACAUGCAAGUAGAACGCACAGUUUAUACCGUAGCUUGCUACACCAUAGACUGUGAGUUGCGAACGGGUGAGUAACGCGUAGGUAACCUGCCUGGUAGCGGGGGAUAACUAUUGGAAACGAUAGCUAAUACCGCAUAAUAUUAAUUAUUGCAUGAUAAUUAAUUGAAAGGUGCAAUUGCACCACUACCAGAUGGACCUGCGUUGUAUUAGCUAGUAGGUGAGGUAACGGCUCACCUAGGCGACGAUACAUAGCCGAACUGAGAGGGUGAUCGGCCAAACUGGGAAUGAGACACGGCCCAGACUCCUACGGGAGGCAGCAGUAGGGAAUCUUCGGAAAUGGACGAAAGUCUGACCGAGCAACGCCGCGGGAGUGAAGAAGGGUUUCGGAUCGUAAAGCUCUGUUGUAAGAGAAGAACGGGUGUGAGAGUGGAAAGUUCACACUGUGACGGUAUCUUAACAGAAAGGGACGGCUAACUACGUG
rnacentral:rRNA from 1 species